rnacentral:rRNA from 1 species
UGGGGAAUAUUGCGCAAUGGGGGAAACCCUGACGCAGCGACGCCGCGUGAGCGAAGAAGGCCUUAGGGUUGUAAAGCUCUGUUUUAGGGGACGAAUGUCGUGGUCAGUAAUAUGGACUACGAAUGACGGUACCCUAAGAGGAAGCCCCGGCUAACUACGUGCCAGCAGCCGCGGUAAGACGUAGGGGGCGAGCGUUGUCCGGAAUUACUGGGCGUAAAGAGCACGUAGGCGGGAACUUAAGUCAGGUGUGAAAGACCGUGGCUCAACCACGGGGUGGCAUUUGAAACUGGGUUUCUUGAGGGCAGGAGAGGAAAGCAGAAUUCCUGGUGUAGCGGUGAAAUGCGUAGAAAUCAGGAGGAAUACCAGUGGCGAAGGCGGCUUUCUGGACUGACCCUGACGCUGAGGUGCGAAAGCGUGGGUAGCAAACA